rnacentral:lncRNA from 1 species
UCAAUAUAAUAAUAAUAAAUGAGAAACUAACAAUGAUUGCUCUUCGUAUAAAUCAUAUGCCAAAACCUAUCAUGAUUUAUAAAACAUGCAUAGCUAAUAUAUCUUUUUGCCCAAUAAAUCACGUUAUAUAAUUAUCUCAAGAUAACAUAUAUCAGAUUUGAUCAUAUUAAGGUGCUCGGCUUUAGACUACCAUAGCCAUGUUUUAAGCCCAU